rnacentral:tRNA from 1 species
CUUUUCACUUAGUGGUAAAGCAAUGACUUGGUAAGACAGAAGUCGUCGGUUCGAAUCCGGUAAAC